rnacentral:lncRNA from 1 species
GAUUUAGGAUUUAUGAUUUGGUUUAGGAUUUAGAUUUAGUUUAGAAUUUAGGAUUUGGUUUAGAAUUUAGAAUUUGGUUAGGAUUUGAUUUAGGAUUUAGGUUUGGUUAGAAUUUGAUAUAGGAUUUAGAAUUUGGUUAAGAUUUGAUUUAAGGUUUAGGAUUUGAUUAGGAUUUGAUUUAAAAUUAGGAUUUGAUUAGGAUUUGAAUAUGAUUUGAUUUAGAGUUUAGAAUUUGAUUAGGAUUUGAUUUAGGAUUUAGGAUUUUAUUAGGAUUUAUUUAUGAUUUAAGAUUUAGUUAAUUUUUGGCCUACAGUUUGAAUGAAGUCUAAUAGGAUUUUAACUAGGAUUAAAUUAAGAUUGAAUUAAGAUGUAUUUGAGAUAUAUUUCUGAUCAUUCAAAUAUUUCUUUAAGAUUUCUUAUUGUUUCUUUGUAAUUCCUUUGAAGUUUCUUUGAAUUUAAUUAAAGCUUGUUUAAUAUUAUUAUAGUCUUAUUUGAAUUUAGUUAGUAUUCUAUUAGAAUUAAGAUUUUGUUGUUGCAAUUUCUACUCUAUCUUCUGCAAUCAAGUGCUCGGAGAAUUCUCAAGCAAGACUUCACGUAUUAUGACAACAUGUUGCUACACCACUU